rnacentral:rRNA from 1 species
CCUACGGGUGGCAGCAGUGAGGAAUAUUGGUCAAUGGACGAGAGUCUGAACCAGCCAAGUAGCGUGAAGGAUGACUGCCCUAUGGGUUGUAAACUUCUUUUAUAUGGGAAUAAAAUGUUCCACGUGUGGGAUUUUGUAUGUACCCUAUGAAUAAGGAUCGGCUAACUCCGUGCCAGCAGCCGCGGUAAUACGUAGGAUCCGAGCGUUAUCCGGAUUUAUUGGGUUUAAAGGGAGCGUAGGUGGAUUGUUAAGUCAGUUGUGAAAGUUUGCGGCUCAACCGUAAAAUUGCAGUUGAAACUGGCAGUCUUGAGUACAGUAGAGGUGGGCGGAAUGCGUGGUGUAGCGGUGAAAUGCUUAGAUAUCACGAAGAACUCCGAUUGCGAAGGCAGUUCACUGGACUGCAACUGACACUGAGGCUCGAAAGUGUGGGUAUCAAACAGGAUUAGAUACCCUUGUAGUC